CAAUUAGGAUUUAAAUUGGGUUUCUGGGUAUCAGGUUUUUAUUAUUCCCUUACAUAAGAACUGGUUUCUCCACAAAUAAUUGGCAUUUUACAUCUCUGCCCUUCCUUACUCUUCGCAUAUUCCUACCACCUCCAUCUAAAAGAAUUUCUGAAAUACGUGAAUUUUUCACUCAAACUACCACAAAAUUCUUACAUCUUUCAUAAAUUCUGUUUGACAGCUGCAGCUCUGUAUAUUUCUUAUCUUCCUUUCUAGCAACAUUUUGAUCUAACUCAAAAGUAUACAAAACGCUGAUGUCCUUCUUAUCUUCAAAACACAUUACUCCUCAUCUGCAGAUUCUUUCGUCAUAACCCACCACUUGGUCCCCUUUAAGAGGAAAAUGUAAACGCC